UUGGAUUGUUGGAUCCUAGACGUCAGUACAGGAGUCUUGGAUUGAUGUUGACAUAGAAGUUGAUGUCCUCAAGUCAUUGCCCGUGUCACGAAAUUGUUGGCAUCUUGUUAAUGCUUCUUUUGGUAUUUUGUCGAUUUCGAAGGUAAUCUGGAAAUUAGGAAGUGAUUCGGUAAUUCGGAAGUGAUCUUGCUACUGGAAAUCCACUUCACAAGUUAUUUCAUCCAACAUUGAUAAAGGUAGAGCCACGCACUAUUCAAGUCGAACAAAAAAUGACUGAGAUAUUUAGUAAUGAUGGACAGAAUGGUGUCUUUUGUUUCGCUACUUGGAACGUACGUUCUAUUCAAUGCACAAAAAAUUUCGUAAAUGUUUCAUCUAUUAUAGACAAAAGUAACGCUGAUAUAGUCUGCCUGCAAGAAACAAAAUUUCGGUACAAUAAACCUUUUGAAAUCAA
rnacentral:sRNA from 1 species